rnacentral:rRNA from 1 species
CGCUAGCGACAGGCUUAACACAUGCAAGUCGAGGGGCAGCGGGGGUAGCGAUACCCGCCGGCGACCGGCGCACGGGUGAGUAACGCGUAUGCAACUUGCCUAUCAGAGGGGGAUAACCCGGCGAAAGUCGGACUAAUACCGCAUGAAGCAGGGGCCCCGCAUGGGGAUAUUUGCUAAAGAUUCAUCGCUGAUAGAUAGGCAUGCGUUCCAUUAGGCAGUUGGCGGGGUAACGGCCCACCAAACCGACGAUGGAUAGGGGUUCUGAGAGGAAGGUCCCCCACAUUGGUACUGAGACACGGACCAAACUCCUACGGGAGGCAGCAGUGAGGAAUAUUGGUCAAUGGGCGUAAGCCUGAACCAGCCAAGUCGCGUGAGGGAUGAAGGUUCUAUGGAUCGUAAACCUCUUUUAUAAGGGAAUAAAGUGCGGGACGUGUCCCGUUUUGUAUGUACCUUAUGAAUAAGGAUCGGCUAACUCCGUGCCAGCAGCCGCGGUAAUACGGAGGAUCCGAGCGUUAUCCGGAUUUAUUGGGUUUAAAGGGUGCGUAGGCGGCCUUUUAAGUCAGCGGUGAAAGUCUGUGGCUCAACCAUAGAAUUGCCGUUGAAACUGGGGGGCUUGAGUAUGUUUGAGGCAGGCGGAAUGCGUGGUGUAGCGGUGAAAUGCAUAGAUAUCACGCAGAACCCCGAUUGCGAAGGCAGCCUGCCAAGCCAUUACUGACGCUGAUGCACGAAAGCGUGGGGAUCAAACAGGAUUAGAUACCCUGGUAGUCCACGCAGUAAACGAUGAUCACUAGCUGUUUGCGAUACACUGUAAGCGGCACAGCGAAAGCGUUAAGUGAUCCACCUGGGGAGUACGCCGGCAACGGUGAAACUCAAAGGAAUUGACGGGGGCCCGCACAAGCGGAGGAACAUGUGGUUUAAUUCGAUGAUACGCGAGGAACCUUACCCGGGUUUGAACGCAUUCGGACCGAGGUGGAAACACCUUUUCUAGCAAUAGCCGUUUGCGAGGUGCUGCAUGGUUGUCGUCAGCUCGUGCCGUGAGGUGUCGGCUUAAGUGCCAUAACGAGCGCAACCCUUGCCACUAGUUACUAACAGGUAAAGCUGAGGACUCUGGUGGGACUGCCAGCGUAAGCUGCGAGGAAGGCGGGGAUGACGUCAAAUCAGCACGGCCCUUACAUCCGGGGCGACACACGUGUUACAAUGGCGUGGACAAAGGGAGGCCACCUGGCGACAGGGAGCGAAUCCCCAAACCACGUCUCAGUUCGGAUCGGAGUCUGCAACCCGACUCCGUGAAGCUGGAUUCGCUAGUAAUCGCGCAUCAGCCAUGGCGCGGUGAAUACGUUCCCGGGCCUUGUACACACCGCCCGUCAAGCCAUGGGAGCCGGGGGUACCUGAAGUCCGUAACCGCGAGGAUCGGCCUAGGGUAAAACUGGUGACUGGG